rfam:Candidatus Buchananbacteria bacterium RIFCSPLOWO2_01_FTLL_40_23b rifcsplowo2_01_scaffold_433, whole genome shotgun sequence.
GGCCCCAUCGUCUAGCCCGGUUUAGGACGCCAGGUUCUCAUCCUGGUAACAGCGGUUCAAAUCCGCUUGGGGCUA